rnacentral:rRNA from 1 species
UACGUCGGCAGCGAGCGUUGUUCGGAGUUACUGGGCGUGAAGGGUGUGUAGGCGGUUGCUUAAGUUUGGGGUGAAAUCUCCCGGCUCAACCGGGAGGGUGCGCCGAAUACUGAGUGACUAGAGUGCGGGAGAGGUGAGUGGAAUUUCCGGUGUAGCGGUGAAAUGCGUAGAUAUCGGAAGGAACACCUGUGGCGAAAGCGGCUCACUGGACCAUUACUGACGCUGAGGCACGAAAGCUAGGGGAGCAAACAGG